GACGAACGCUGGCGGCGUGCUUAACACAUGCAAGUCGAACGGAAAGGCCCUGCUUUUGUGGGGUGCUCGAGUGGCGAACGGGUGAGUAACACGUGAGUAACCUGCCCUUGACUUUGGGAUAACUUCAGGAAACUGGGGCUAAUACCGGAUAGGAGCUCCUGCUGCAUGGUGGGGGUUGGAAAGUUUCGGCGGUUGGGGAUGGACUCGCGGCUUAUCAGCUUGUUGGUGGGGUAGUUGCUUACCAAGCCUUUGACGGGUAGCCGGCCUGGGAGGGUGACCGGGCACAUUGGGACUGAGGGAGGGACCAGACUCCAACGGGGGGCAGCGGGGGGGAAUAUUGCACAAUGGGCGGAAGCCUGUUGCGGAGACGCCGCGUGCGGGAUGACGGCCUUCGGGUUGUAAACCGCUGUCGCCUGUGACGAAGCGGGAGUGACGGUAAUGGGUAAAGAAGCACCGGCUAACUACGUG
rnacentral:rRNA from 1 species